rnacentral:tRNA from 1 species
GGCGAGAUGGCCGAGCGGUCUAAGGCGGUUAGUACUACUUAUAAUCACUUUCUUGUCACGAAAGGGGCGUGGGUUCAAAUCCCACUCUCGUCA